rnacentral:rRNA from 1 species
GGGCAUCCGACAUUCACUCCAACCCAAUGUGAACGUUACCAAACUGUUGCCUCGGCGGGGUCACGCCCCGGGUGCGUCGCAGCCCCGGAACCAGGCGCCCGCCGGAGGAACCAACCAAACUCUUUCUGUAGUCCCCUCGCGGACGUAUUUCUUACAGCUCUGAGCAAAAAUUCAAAAUGAAUCAAAACUUUCAACAACGGAUCUCUUGGUUCUGGCAUCGAUGAAGAACGCAGCGAAAUGCGAUAAGUAAUGUGAAUUGCAGAAUUCAGUGAAUCAUCGAAUCUUUGAACGCACAUUGCGCCCGCCAGUAUUCUGGCGGGCAUGCCUGUCCGAGCGUCAUUUCAACCCUCGAACCCCUCCGGGGGAUCGGCGUUGGGGAUCGGGACCCCUCACACGGGUGCCGGCCCCGAAAUACAGUGGCGGUCUCGCCGCAGCCUCUCCUGCGCAGUAGUUUGCACAACUCGCACCGGGAGCGCGGCGCGUCCACGUCCGUAAAACACCCAACUUUCUGAAGUGUUCACCUCAGAUCAGGUAAGAACACCCGCAGAACUUACCCAUAUCUAGAACGAGAAAAAAAUUUUUCUGUCUUUUUCUGCUUUUCUUCUGGCCCCCCUUCCCGCGGGUUGCUAGGUGGUGUGGGCGUGUUGGGUUUUUGGGGUUUU